rnacentral:lncRNA from 1 species
UUUUAAAAGUUCUGGGAUCUGAGAAAUAAGACUUGAAUCUGAAAUCAUCAGUCGUUAUAUGAUUUUUACUUGUUAUGCUCUAGAAAUCAAUAUUGGUGUCUAGUGUCGUGUGUAUGGAAAAUUGACUGUCUGAAAAUCAUGCUCCCACAUUUCAGUGAAACUAUUCACUUUUCAUAAUGCUUUUAUCAUCAAUCCAGAUCAAUUAUGAUACAAACCAAUCAGCAAAGAGGAUUAGAGGUAUUUCGUAAU